UACAGAGGUCUCAAGCGUUGUUCGGAUUCAUUGGGCGUAAAGGGUGCGUAGGCGGCGCGGUAAGUCGGGUGUGAAAUCUCGGAGCUUAACUCCGAAACUGCAUUCGAUACUGCCGUGCUUGAGGACUGGAGAGGAGACUGGAAUUUACGGUGUAGCGGUGAAAUGCGUAGAUAUCGGGAGGAACACCAGUGGCGAAGGCGACUACCUGGCCUGUUCUUGACGCUGAGGCGCGAAAGCUAGGGGAGUAAACGGG
rnacentral:rRNA from 1 species